AGCGGCGCCUCGCGCGUCAGUCAAUCUGGCCAAUUGCGCGUCUUUUCCGCCUACCGCACGGCCCCGCCCCUGCCGCAGGAUCGAUUUACGGCCGCAGAGAAAAACCAAGAUUUCACUUUCAAGAUGGAAAGUCCGUCAGACUCAGCUGUGGUUUUACCUAGCACUCCUCAGGCCUCUGCGAAUCCAUCAUCUCCCUAUACAAAUAGUUCACGAAAACAAGUAUGAAAAUCUUUGUUCUUCCAGUGGAUCCAUUCUGUGUUUCUAAGUAUUGUGGCAGUGGUGGUUUAAAUUCUACGGAAGGUUGUUAAUUAACAUAAUGUAUAGCAUAAAUAAGUAGACAUUUUAUUAAGUAAUUUUGUUUUUCUUCUAAGGUGACAUAUAUGACACCCACCAGCCCCCUUCCAUAUUUUCCUCUUGAAUCAAUUCAUUUCAGUUUCAGAUUAGGCUAUUACAAUACUCCAAAUGGAGAAAGUUUGAAUCUGUGCAAUAUUA
rnacentral:sRNA from 1 species